rnacentral:ncRNA from 1 species
ACUUAAAAAUAGGAGGGAGUGGGACAGAAAUGAUAUUUUCGCAAAAUUUAUUUCGUCGUCCCACCCCAACUUGCAUUGUUUGUAGAAUUUCUUUUCGAAAUUCUCUUUGUUGGGGCCCCUGACUAGAAUUGAAAAAAGCUUGUUACAAGCGCAUUUUCGUUCAGUCAACUACUGCCAAUAUAACUUCAUAGAGCAUAGAACAUUGAUUUCU